UUCGUCCAAUUGAAGCAGAGGACAGUGGCGGACGGGUGAGUAACGCGUGAGGAACCUGCCUUCAAGAGGGGGAUAACAUUCUGAAAAGAAUGCUAAUACCGCAUGACAUAUCGGAACCACAUGGUUCUGAUAUCAAAGAUUUUAUCGCUUGAAGAUGGACUCGCGUCCGAUUAGUUAGUUGGUGAGGUAACGGCUCACCAAGACCGCGAUCGGUAGCCGACCUGAGAGGGUGAUCGGCCACAUUGGGACUGAGACACGGCCCAAACUCC
rnacentral:rRNA from 1 species